UUGCGAGGUGUCGUUUGCUUAGACCACUUUUUUUUCUUUUUUCCGCCAAAAUCAUCUUCCGCUUCUUUUCUAAAGGCCGUGAUUGAACAAUUCCUUCUACAAACCCUGCUCAAACCCUAAAAAACUAUAUUGCCGCAUUUUGCAUCUUCUUCAAUCCAUCUCUUCAAUCCUCUUAUUUGAUUUUCGGUUGUAAGUAAUAAGCCCCUUAAUCUUCCAAAUAGCCAUUGGCAACCACAUAGCCAACAUUGUCCAUGAAAUCAGGCCUAAGAAGAUAUGAAAUCAUAGCCAACAUCUGAUAACUUUUUGACGAGUUAGGGUUUUUUAAUACCCCGUAAGUAGAGAAGAAGAUCAAGCAUCAAUCUCUUCGCGGAUUGGGUAUCACCCGGAUAUCAUGUUUCAGUUUUUGUUUAUAUUCGGUUUCCGGUGGUGCUUUUUUGGGCUCUAAUGGAACAGAACGGAUGAGAUGAAAAUAAGUUAUGUGGAGUAUGAUUUAACUACCAAUUUUGAAUCCAUCAAGUUAUAGACUGUUUCAUCAAGAGCCCAUCUCAACGGUGAUUGUAGUAAUCAUGGGUAUCAUGUUUCUUGGUGAUGUUCUUCGUGUAGGCAGGGACAGGGAGAGACUUAUGGAGCCAUAUUCAUUAUCUGUCCAAGACCAGCUCGAAACUUGACAGUGGUUGUUUUUGUCGCUGAUUCUUGGCUCUCCAUGGAAUUGGUCCGAUUUGAUUGAACGUUUGAAUUUGUUGUAAUUUAGGGCCUCCAAUCUUAUGUGAGAAGCAGGUUCUUCCUAUUCAUGGACCACAUACUGUUGUUCAACAAAAUUAAUUACUUUUACAAGGUAACACUUUACCCUUCAGUAGUUCGGUUCUCUUUAUUACUGAUUUAUUUUAUUAAAUCAUAUGAUUUGGGUGAAUUCUGAUUAGGUUGGAUUUUGUUUUUCUAUGCUAAGGUUUUCCAAAAGCCCUAAAUCUGAUUAAUUUUCUAAGAGUCCUAGCUAAAUUUUGUGAUCAUAAGGAUUCAAUUUAUUUCAGAUCUGCUCAUUUGCAUACAUUAUCUCCAAUGACAUUACUUAUUAAAAAUUUGACCAUGAUUGUCAAAAUCUGAAAUAAGCAGUGAAGCCAUCAAAGUUAUUUGGGAUAUCACUUAGAAAGGUAUAUCAUCUUUUAAAAUUUCUGAUUUCUAUUAAGAAAAAGUAUUUGAUGGUUAGUAUUAUGUUUUAGUCAUGUUUACUUACCAGAAUGUUGAUCAGUGGAGAUCAUAGAGAUGCUUUUUUAACGGUUAGUGGAAUGUUAAUGGAGCUCCAUUUAAUACACAGCUUUGGAUAUGUAUGAAUUUGACUGUAUAUACAAAUUUAACAUAAUUACAGUUAUUUUUAUGUGUGUGGGUUACGGUAUACAAGAUUCAAUACGUUUUGAUGUGUAUUAAAUUUGGUGACUAGCAUAUUCCCUAAUUACAAUUGCUUUCCACUUUUCACAGUAGACAAACCCAAAAUUGAUUUAUAUGUCGCAUGCUACUAGCAAACACCACAAUCGUACAACUUAGCUCUCAUCAAGAUUACGAUUGAUGUUGGAAACAAAGGACAGUUUGGAGAGAACGGGAUAGCCGCCCACCGCACCUGGCGGUGACUCGGCUGAGCUACACGGAUGCUCAACAACUUUGUCGAUGGUAACUUUGACUACAAAGGCCAUCCAGUCCUCCGAUCCAAAUUCGGUUAUUGUCGGUCCACAUAUUUCAUUAUAUAGACUUAUAGACUGACUAGAUCAGCGCAUAUAGAUUUUAAUAUGUUUAGAAUUUAUUUUGAAAGAAUAUGGUAUCUUUCCCAAGGCAUUUUACAACAUGGUCCAUUUGAGGUUCUUGACCAAAAAGCGGUGGGUCAAUUGAUCAAGACGGCUACUGAGAAGGGCUGUGCGGCCAAUCCUAAGUUAAAGGGGAGCGCGAGUCACUAUACGUUGUUGUGUUCCUGCUGUAAGCUUUGUAAAAUGAUUCAAGAGGCCAUACUUAUUUCUAAUACAUUUUGGUUUACUUCUACCUGGCCCAUUUGACCCGUUAAGGGUCAAAGUACAUCUUGCCUUUUAAUUAUAUGUCGUUAUCGAAUCUUGAAGCUUAUGAAACAAAGAAGUUCGAGUGAGUGUUUGUCAUUUGAACUAAAUAAUAAUUGUAUGCACCAUAUUGUAACUUUUUCAUUAAAUCUAUAAACUCUUCUGACUAGCAACCAGCUCAAAACGGUGAAACCAAGACCAUAUUAACUAAGCACAUCACCAACAGGAACAUGUUGGAGCGGAAGAUGACACUAUAUGAUCAUAAUCGGACUGGACCAGGGCUCGAUGUGGCCGAGCCAUCUAAACAUGAAGAUACGUGAUUUUGGUUACUGAAAGAUAAAACAUCAAAUGUGGGGUAUAAAGAAGUCCAUCUCUGAGCUUCAUAAAAAGGUACUGAUAAAUGCUUUCAACAAAAAAUUUCAAUUGAAAAUUACCUCCAUUCAUAUUGAGUCGAAGAUUCCAAAUCUUUUAAAAAUUAUCAUCCUUUAGAAACAUAUUUGAAUGAUGGCAACAAAGUCAAACAAGAGGUCAACUGGCUUACAAAACUGGAGGGACAUUGAUAUUGUUAAUGACAUUUGCCGAUGUGGAUGAAACAUAUAAAAGAACGCGUUUUAAAUCAAUGUUAAAAGUUGCAGCUCCAAGGAGCAUUAAGGAUCAUCAUUAAUAAGGAAGUGGCUGAAAUCACAGGACAAUGUACGAGUGGUGGAUGGAUCUUGGUUCGAAAAUAGAUCGAGCCGUCUGAAGUCCAAAUCGAAGCAACCUAGCAGAUUCUGUAGUUUACGAUUGUUACAAUACAGUUCAAACGCCAUUUGAUCAACAAUUGUUUUAACACCGUCACCGUAUCUACGUUUUGCACGCAUAAUGGAGUUUGGUGCUGAUCAGAUCCCCACCGGAUCUCCACGGCAACGUGUGAGUUUCGGAGUUUGCAACGUUAUCAUACCAAGAAUGAUUCGGUUAAGCGCAACGUGGCAUUGUGUAUAAAGGUGGUAUUUGGUUUUGAAUAGACAAAUAAAAAUAAAUUACAAUUGUGCUAAUCUUUAGAAAAAGAAACUUAUGGUUACAUGUUCAAUGAACAAUUACUAUUUGAUGUUUAA